rnacentral:rRNA from 1 species
AACGAACGCUGGCGGCAUGCCUAACACAUGCAAGUCGAACGAGACCUUCGGGUCUAGUGGCGCACGGGUGCGUAACGCGUGGGAACCUGCCCUUAGGUUCGGAAUAACUCCCCGAAAGGGGUGCUAAUACCGGAUAAUGUCUUCGGACCAAAGAUUUAUCGCCUUUGGAUGGGCCCGCGUUGGAUUAGCUAGUUGGUAGGGUAAAAGCCUACCAAGGCGACGAUCCAUAGCUGGUCUGAGAGGAUGAUCAGCCACACUGGGACUGAGACACGGCCCAGAAUCCUACGGGAGGCAGCAGUGGGGAAUAGUGGAACAUGGGCGAAAGCCUGAUCCAGCAAUGCCGCGUGAGUGAUGAAGGCCUUAGGGUUGUAAAGCUCUUUUAACCGGGAUGAUAAUGACAGUACCGGGAGAAUAAGCCCCGGCUAACUACGUG